rnacentral:rRNA from 1 species
AUUGAACGCUGGCGGCAGGCCUAACACAUGCAAGUCGAACGAGUGGCGGACGGGUGAGUAAUGUCUGGGAAACUGCCUGAUGGAGGGGGAUAACUACUGGAAACGGUAGCUAAUACCGCAUACCAUCGGAUGUGCCCAGAUGGGAUUAGGUAGUAGGUGGGGUAAAGGCUAACCUAGGCGACGAUCCCUAGCUGGUCUGAGAGGAGGACCAGCCACACUGGGACUGAGACACGGACCAGACUCCUACGGGAGGCAGCAGUGGGGAAUAUUGCACAAUGGGCGCAAGCCUGACGCAGCCAUGCCUCGUGUUUGAAGAAGGCCUUCGGGUUGUAAAGUACUUUCAGCGGGGAGGCGUUACCCGCAGAAGAAGCACCGGCUAACUCCGUGCCAGCAGCCGCGGUAAUAC